rnacentral:rRNA from 1 species
GAUGAACGCUGGCGGCGUGCCUAAUACAUGCAAGUCGAGCGAACAGACGAGGAGCUUGCUCCUCUGACGUUAGCGGCGGACGGGUGAGUAACACGUGGAUAACCUACCUAUAAGACUGGGAUAACUUCGGGAAACCGGAGCUAAUACCGGAUAAUAUAUUGAACCGCAUGGUUCAAUAGUGAAAGACGGUUUUGCUGUCACUUAUAGAUGGAUCCGCGCCGCAUUAGCUAGUUGGUAAGGUAACGGCUUACCAAGGCAACGAUGCGUAGCCGACCUGAGAGGGUAAUCGGCCACACUGGAACUGGGACACGGUCCAGCCCCCAACGGGAGGCGGCAGUAGGAAAUUUUCGGCAAUGGCCGAAAGCCUAACGGGGAAACGCCGCGGGAGUGAUGAAGGUCUUCGAAUCGUAAAACCCUGUUAUUAGGAAAAAAAAAAUGUGUAAGUAACUAUGCACGUCUGGACGGUACCUAAGCAAAAAGCCACGCCUAACUACGU